CGGGACGUGGCGCAGUUUGGUAGCGCACUCGACUGGGGGUCGAGAGGUCGUGGGUUCAAAUCCCGCCGUCCCGA
rnacentral:tRNA from 2 species